rnacentral:misc_RNA from 1 species
GAAAUGCGAUAAGUAAUGUGAAUUGCAGAAUUCAGUGAAUCAUCGAAUCUUUGAACGCACAUUGCGCCCUCUGGUAUUCCGGAGGGCAUGCCUGUUCGAGCGUCAUUUCAACCCUCAAGCAUUGCUUGGUGUUGGGGCACCGCCUGUAAAAGGGCGGGCCCUGAAAUCUAGUGGCGAGCUCGCCAGGACCCCGAGCGUAGUAAUUAUAUUUCGUUCUGGAAGGCCCUGGCGGUGCCCUGCCGUUAAACCCCCAACUUCUGAAAAUUUGACCUCGGAUCAGGUAGGAAUACCCGCUGAACUUAA